AGUUUUAAAUUUUUCUGAUUCCCAUUAUGCCCUUAAAGUAAAAAAAAUCCUAGAGCUCAAAUCUUCUCUCUCUUGUUCUUGGCUAUUUCGGAGAGAGACCAAGGGAAGGAGCAAAAAAUUUCCUAUUCCUGUUGGAUUCCGGAAUCGGAGGGCGGCGGCGGCUCGAUUCCAAUGAAUGUGCUUUGUUGCAACCGUGAUAGUCGGCGCAUGUGCUUCUGAUUCGUCGCUGAUUGCUGAUCCCGACUUGUGGAGUGAAUUGUAAGGUUAUCUCAAUGUCUAAGAUCUCACACCAAUCAGUGGCUACGCCUACUAGCUUGGCCUCGGUGUCCACUAUUCCGGCUUGCAAGGUCAAUCAGUUGGUUCAGGUUGCACAGAAGUGCCAGAGUACGAUUGUUGAAAGUGGAUCUGAUGGGGUUUCUCAGCAGGAUCUACAAGCAAAUAGUAAUUUGUGAGUUUUUGAGGUGAUCAACCAGUUUGGUAUUCAAUUUUAAUGUCUCCUCAUAAAGAAGUAGGGCUUCACCGAUGUUGUUUGUUUCCUUCAAGGUUCUGCCAGCUGGGCGGUAGCUCGCAAAGAGUUUGGAGUUGCAGUCGCUGAAUGACUUGGCUUUUCUAAAAGAUAUGUGAGGUGUUUGCAGAUAUCAGAGGUUGUGAACAACAUGAAAGAUUUGAUCGAAUUCUGCCAGGAAAACAAAGUUGGCCCAAUUGAGGGCUUGCAGGUUCAUCCUCGACAUGCGAAUGCAACCAAGCUUCAGAUGCAAAGGAUGCACGAAAUGGAGCAGUUAGCAAGUGUUCAGGGCAUGCCAACUGAUAGGAACACAUUGAAUAAGCUAAUGGUAAUAACAACCAUCACAUGGCCAGGGGAGGAGCUUUGAGUGACUCUGCACAAGCAGCUUUAGCGCUGACCAAUUACCAAAAUCUGCUGAUGAAGCAGAA